CGCGAUGAUGAGUGCCGACUUCACUGAACUGUGAUGAAACCUGGGACAGCUGAGCG
rnacentral:snoRNA from 1 species